UUGGAAGAACUAUCAGCUGCAU
rnacentral:miRNA from 1 species